AUGAAAACAAACAAGGUGUUGGUUAGAAUAGUUAUCAUCAAAAUAAUGAAAUUUAAACAAGAAGUGUCAAGCAAAUUUCCUUCUAAUCUCAUCAUGAGGGUUUAUGCUUGGAAUCAAAAAUUUAUAGGGUCAUUCAAUCAUGUGCUAAGCCUAAUUCAAAGCCUCAUACAAAUCAGAUUUCUAAAUUCUAAAUCACGGGCCAUGUUCCAAUUGUAA